UUUACCCAUAAUCAUGCAGUUCAGAAUGAAAAUAGCACAAUGCAUUCUGUGUUGAAGUGUGUAACUUACUUCCUUCAAUGUUUGGAUCUGUGAAUCUUCCCCUGUGUUAAGGUCCAAAUAAAAGCAUUAAAAUGUUUGCAUAGAGUGUGUGUGUGUGUGUGUGUGUGUGUGUG